rnacentral:sRNA from 1 species
ACAAUUAAAUGCAAAAACGAAAUAGAUUAAGAGUAAUUAAGGUUUCAAGAUUCAUAAACACAAAGAAAAACUGAAAGAUAAAGCAUAGAUCCUUUGGACAAAUCCCAAAGUGAUCUAUUUAUACUAAAAUGUUGGAAACCCUAGAUUCACUAGAAGACAAGAGACUUGAGGCGGUUUGGGCGAAUACUCGAUCUUGGGGAUCGAGUAAAGAGGGUGCUGCAAAGUUUGCGCCUUUGUGUCUAUGCUCCAAGUGAUCAAUUGGUCGAGUAGAUGCUUCAUCCUCUCCUAUCCGUAUGCUCAAAUGUCUGGUUGAGUGGGGAAUGAGGAGGAUCCAAAGACGCUUUGAUAGUUCAACAAGUCUUGUAAAGAUGGUCACCCUUGGUCGAGUAAAUGGAUCGAGUAGUGGAUCGAGUAGGAGGGGCGAGUAGAUCAAUCUGCUGCUUCAUCUUAGGUUGCCUUGAUCGAGUAAGAGGGUCGAGUAAACUACAGCCUCCUUUGUAGCAUCCUAGAUCGAGUAAAGAGGUCGAGUAGAGUGAUGCCUCUUCUGUACCUGCCUGGAUCGAGUGAAUGGAUCGAGUAGAGUCCUUUUUAGCUCCUUCUGCACCUGAAAACACACCAAAACAUGCAAUGCAUAUGCAAGAUGAUCUUAGAUGCCUAAGUAUGCAAAAUAAGUUAAAAUGGUGCAAAAUGAUAUGAUACAAUGAGCAAAUGCAAAGGUAAAUGAUGAUAAACAUAUACCUAAGAGUAAAAUACAGUGUUAUCACCUAGUUGGGCCAAGGGACGGAUCUAGGAAGGGAGGUGUUGGGGAGCUGCCCCAGCGGCUUUCCUAAAUUUUUAUU